AAACAGGCUAUGUUAGCUUAACUUUAACAGCAAUGAGUAAAGGAAUUGGGGGUCGGACCCUUCGUGUUUUCAGCCUAAGAGAGAUAUCAAGGCACAGAUAACUUAACCACCUCAACUGCUAUACCAAAAUAAAUCCUUGAGGGUUUUAUUUAUGUUGUUUUUAGCCUGUUUGAGCUUCAGUCAGUUUUAGCUAAUAUGCCUGUUAGCUAAUGCACUAUAAGCUAACAGGAAGUUCGUAGGAUCCAGUGCAGGUCAUCUACCCCCGAGCAGGACAACCAGAAUGUCCCCAGGGUGUAAUUACAGACAACCCCAGUAAGGAAUGUAGUGAAAGUUCCCAAGAGGUUAAAAACACCACUGAAAAAAUGCCAUCAGACCUGAGUUGGGACACUUGGAUUAUGGAGCUUCUGGACCAAGAGAGUGGAUGGGAGCAUGUGUUUAACAAUAGCGUAGUGAAACAUUUGGGCGGUGGAUAAAUAAUGGAAAAUAAAAUUCAGACUACAGACGGCUUCAGGUUUCCAUACAUCGGAAACAGCUGCUGCAUCUGUAAUUCUGUCCAUCUUGAGGAGAGUCCACACUCUACAUCAGAUCCUUGGCUCACCUAUAAUGAUGCACAGGUGCUGCACACAACUGGAUCUGCAGCUUGUGAGGAACAGCAGCACUCAGCCUACAUGCUGUUU